CCCUCCACAUGGUCUAUGGUGGACCAAAGGCAAAGAGUGGUUCAUGGUGGACUGCAUGGAAGAUAAAAGGAUGGGUCCUAGAGCUUCACAUGGAAAGAAGGCUGAAGCAACAUUUGAAGCGAGACCUAAUGAUUUUUUUCAAACAAAGGGCGCAACGUGGCAUGAUGCUGGGCGUGCAUUAGAGAGAAAAUGCAGCAUGAUUGUGAAUGCACGCGGGAAGAAGGAAAAGCGGCCA
rnacentral:lncRNA from 1 species